GACGAACGCUGGCUGCGUGCUUAACACAUGCAAGUCGAGCGGUAAGGCCCUUUCGGGGGUACACGAGCGGCGAACGGGUGAGUAACACGUGGGUGACCUGCCCUCAGCUCUGGGAUAAGCCUGGGAAACUGGGUCUAAUACUGGAUAUGACUCCACGGUGCAUGUCGGUGGGGUGAAAGCCUUGUGCGGCUGAGGAUGGGCCCGCGGCCUAUCAGCUUGUUGGUGGGGUNAUGGCCUACCAAGGCGACGACGGUAGCCGGCCUGAGAGGGCGACCGGCCACACUGGGACUGAGACACGGCCCAGACUCCUACGGGAGGCAGCAGGUGGGGAAUCUUGCGCAAUGGGCGAAAGCCUGACGCAGCGACGCCGCGUGAGGGAUGACGGCC
rnacentral:rRNA from 1 species